GACGAACGCUGGCGGCGUGCUUAACACAUGCAAGUCGAACGGAAAGGCCCUGCUUUUGUGGGGUGCUCGAGUGGCGAACGGGUGAGUAACACGUGAGUAACCUGCCCUUGACUUUGGGAUAACUUCAGGAAACUGGGGCUAAUACCGGAUAGGAGCUCCUGCUGCAUGGUGGGGGUUGGAAAGUUUCGGCGGUUGGGGAUGGACUCGCGGCUUAUCAGCUUGUUGGUGGGGUAGUGGCUUACCAAGGCUUUGACGGGUAGCCGGCCUGAGAGGGUGACCGGCCACAUUGGGACUGAGAUACGGCCCAGACUCCUACGGGAGGCAGCAGUGGGGAAUAUUGCACAAUGGGCGGAAGCCUGAUGCAGCAACGCCGCGUGCGGGAUGACGGCCUUCGGGUUGUAAACCGCUUUCGCCUGUGACGAAGCGUGAGUGACGGUAAUGGGUAAAGAAGCACCGGCUAACUACGUGCCAGCAGCCGCGGUGAUACGUAGGGUGCGAGCGUUGUCCGGAUUUAUUGGGCGUAAAGGGCUCGUAGGUGGUUGAUCGCGUCGGAAGUGUAAUCUUGGGGCUUAACCCUGAGCGUGCUUUCGAUACGGGUUGACUUGAGGAAGGUAGGGGAGAAUGGAAUUCCUGGUGGAGCGGUGGAAUGCGCAGAUAUCAGGAGGAACACCAGUGGCGAAGGCGGUUCUCUGGGCCUUUCCUGACGCUGAGGAGCGAAAGCGUGGGGAGCGAACAGGCUUAGAUACCCUGGUAGUCCACGCUGUAAACGGUGGGUACUAGGUGUGGGGUCCAUUCCACGGGUUCCGUGCCGUAGCUAACGCUUUAAGUACCCCGCCUGGGGAGUACGGCCGCAAGGCUAAAACUCAAGGGAAUUGACGGGGCCCCGCACAAGCGGCGGAGCAUGCGGAUUAAUUCGAUGCAACGCGUAGAACCUUACCUGGGUUUGACAUGGAUCGGGAGUGCUCAGAGAUGGGUGUGCCUCUUUUGGGGUCGGUUCACAGGUGGUGCAUGGCUGUCGUCAGCUCGUGUCGUGAGAUGUUGGGUUAAGUCCCGCAACGAGCGCAACCCUUGUUCACUGUUGCCAGCACGUUAUGGUGGGGACUCAGUGGAGACCGCCGGGGUCAACUCGGAGGAAGGUGGGGAUGACGUCAAGUCAUCAUGCCCCUUAUGUCCAGGGCUUCACGCAUGCUACAAUGGCUGGUACAGAGAGUGGCGAGCCUGUGAGGGUGAGCGAAUCUCGGAAAGUCGGUCUCAGUUCGGAUUGGGGUCUGCAACUCGACCUCAUGAAGUCGGAGUCGCUAGUAAUCGCAGAUCAGCAACGCUGCGGUGAAUACGUUCCCGGGGCC
rnacentral:rRNA from 1 species